AAGUCGUAACAAGGUUUCCGUAGGUGAACCUGUCUCCGGAGCAGGUUUGAAAGUUCACAGGGGGGUUUAACGUUGGAUACGUGUUAAUGAUCCUUCCGCAGCCAGUAAAUCAUUGUUGAACAGUUUUGAUUUGGGACUUCUGUGGCACGUAAGAUGUCGGUUGAGAUAGGGGCAUGGCUUCCCGAAUCAGUCAUCAAAUGAAAGCGUUGAUGAUUGUGUAAGGAUAACUUCUCGAUCGCUGGAGGCCCACACGGUCGGCGGACAUGCCUCAUGGGCGAAAGCCCCCUAAUAACCCCUGCUAACUAACCUCACCUGCCGCGAAAGCCGCAGGUGCAAAACGAACAACUGUUAACAAUGGAUAUCUUGGUUCUC
rnacentral:misc_RNA from 1 species